CGGCGAAGCGAUCGUUCAGAGCCGCCAACUCCGUCCGCUCCGCGCUGCGCCCCGCCGAACGCGCAUCAACGGGAACCGGCGGAGAAUCGAGGCUUUGCGCUCUUCAAAACCGAAUGGAAAAACCCCAGGCAGCGUUCGGAGCAGCGCGGCUCUUUUCUCAGUCUCUGCUGCCACCGUGUGGCCAAAGAGCGGAACUGCAGGAGUGGCGCUCGGGGGGCGGUUGAGACCUGGAGGCGGCGGUGGCGGUUUUAGGGCCGAGGGAACUUUUAGCGGCGGUGCUGCUGCUGGUUUUAUGGGGCGGAGGGGAUCAGGGUUGCUCAAGGCGGCUCGGACCUCCCCGGCGCCAGCACUGCCCCGCAGAACGCUCUUGGAGCUGCUUAGCGCGUCGCUCUGCCCUCCCGCUCCGAGUCUCUAUUCUCUAUGGUAAUUGGUAAUCCUGUCGCUAACGUGCAAGUGUUGCGACACACAGAAAUCGCGACUCUCCACUCUGACAGCUCUGCGUCGUCAGUUCGCCAAUACCUACGAUAAUAGCGCUUGCGACAGUACUGCGCAUGUGCAGUGAAACGCGGAAAGUCUGUUUUAACCGCUCUGCGCUCCCAGACCUCCAAUCUCUAUGCUUCUUUGGUCUUCCAGGCUGUAGUACACAUGCGCAAACAGC